GACGAAGGGGGCUAGCGUUGUUCGGAAUUACUGGGCGUAAAGCGCGUGUAGGCGGUUAUCCCAGUCGGGUGUGAAAGCCUUGAGCUCAACUCAAGAAAUGCACUCGGUACUGGGUGACUAGAGGACCGGAGAGGAUAGUGGAAUUCCCAGUGUAGUGGUGAAAUACGUAGAGAUUGGGAAGAACACCAGUGGCGAAGGCGGCUAUCUGGACGGUUUCUGACGCUAAGACGCGAAAGCGUGGGGAGCAAACAGG
rnacentral:rRNA from 1 species